rnacentral:rRNA from 1 species
UAGGGAAUCUUCCACAAUGGACGCAAGUCUGAUGGAGCAACGCCGCGUGAGUGAAGAAGGCUUUCGGGUCGUAAAACUCUGUUAUUGAAGAAGAACGUGCGUGACAGUAACUGGUCAUGCAGUGACGGUAUUCAAUCAGAAAGUCACGGCUAACUACGUGCCAGCAGCCGCGGUAAUACGUAGGUGGCAAGCGUUGUCCGGAUUUAUUGGGCGUAAAGCGAGUGCAGGCGGUCUUUUAAGUCUGAUGUGAAAACCUUCGGCUUAACCGAAGAAGGGCAUCGGAAACUGGGAGACUUGAGUGCAGAAGAGGAGAGUGGAACUCCAUGUGUAGCGGUGAAAUGCGUAGAUAUAUGGAAGAACACCAGUGGCGAAGGCGGCUCUCUGGUCUGUAACUGACGCUGAGGCUCGAAAGCGUGGGUAGCAAACAGGAUUAGAUACCCUGGUA